UACAGAGGUCCCAAGCGUUGUUCGGAUUCAUUGGGCGUAAAGGGUGUGUAGGUGGCGCCGUAAGUCGGGUGUGAAAUCUCGGGGCUUAACUCUGAAACUGCAUUCGAUACUGCCGUGCUUGAGGACUGGAGAGGAGACUGGAAUUUACGGUGUAGCGGUGAAAUGCGUAGAUAUCGUAAGGAAGACCAGUGGCGAAGGCGGGUCUCUGGACAGUUCCUGACGCUGAGGCACGAAGGUCAGGGGAGCAAACGGG
rnacentral:rRNA from 1 species